ensembl:lncRNA
GCGCCAUCUUAGUUUCCAACGGCAAAGCUAGCCCUUCUUUUUUAAGGUUUCCCAUUUAGGGCCCCACACCGUGUGUCGUCUGGGAGGAGUGUUCCAGGCAAAGAGACAUGCAAAGGCGCUGUGGCAGAUUCUUAACCACUGGACCGCCAAGAACCCACGUCACUGUUCUUGCCUGGAGAAUCCCAGGGACGGUGGAGCCUGGUGGGCUGCCUUCUACAGGGUCGCACAGAGUUGGACACUGCUGAAGCGACUUAGCAGCAGCAGAAGCAGCAGGACCGCCAAGAAAGUCCACUAAACAUCUUAUGUGUGUGGGGAAGCCAGCUUCCUUGUGAGCAACCCUGUGGAGAGACCACAGGAAGGAACUGAGGCUUCAGUCCAGUAGUCUGAGAGGACGUGAAGCUCACUAAAAUCUUGUGAAUGACCUUGGAACUGGGUUGCUCCACCAUCCCUACCCCAUUACCACAGCUGAGCAUUCAGAUGAGACUACAAGAUGAAACCAAUAGCUUAACGGUGACCUCAAGAGAGACCUUGAGUCUGAGAUGCCCAGGUAAGUCAUACCUGAAUGCUUGACCUGCAAAAACUGUGAGUUCAUAUUCGCCUUUUUGUUUGUUUUUGUCUGUACCAUACUGCAUGCAGGAUUAGUUCCCUGAUCAGGGAUGGAAUUCAGAGUUCUAAUCACUGGGAAGCCACAGAAUUCCUUGCUUGUUGUUUUAAGUAGAUAAGUUUUGGGAUAAUUUGUUAGGCAGCAAUAAGCAAUUAUUACAUUUCCUACUCCUACCAAGAACCUGUAAAUCUGCUUUCAGUAGGGAGACCAUAUAAUUAACCACCUUGUUUAGAACAAUUCUGAGAAUAAAAUUAUGCUGGAAUGACAGACAUAAACUUGGAUCAUCCCUGGCAAGUCAGGACAUAUAGAACAUAAGGAAUACUUGUGGCAUGUUGGAAUUCCUCUGAGGUUUUCUCAUAUUCCAUACUUGGUCUGGAGGUGCUGGAUGCCAACAUCUUCCUUCUGGGGCAUCAGAGCUAGAUCUUGGUUUUCUUCUGCACAUGCCUCUGGCCUGACCACUUAGGGCUCAGACCUAAUCACCUGAUUGCCAUGGUGGGUUUGCUUUCCUACCAUUCUUUGUGCGCUGGAUGCUGGGUCUAUCUAUUAGGAUUUAGAAUAACUAGGAAUGGUAAGCUCUUUCUCUCUCCCUUCGGUGCCAUGGGAGUGGGAUCUGAGGCAAGGAAAUGUCCAUCUUGUCUAAAGUCCAAGCCAAGAGUACGUUUCCCACUCCUGGAAACGUGGCUUGAGUGGCCCUGGUGAAGGGUGAGCUUAUAUACGGGCAAAGAACCUAAUUUCAGGGGGAAUUAUGGCAAGGAUGUCUAUGAACUGGAAUUGUAGUACCAUUUAGGAAGAGCCUCUCUUGCCUUCUCACAGUAACUUCUUGUUCUCUUGCUUCUGAACUGACCUCUCAGACUGAAUUCCAGGAGGAACUGUUCUGGUCACUUUAGUAAGUCAACUCAUUCCUUGUGUGUGAGAUCUUUAUGAGCAGUCCAGCUGGGGAGUAGCUGAUAACUUACCGAUGGGCUACCUUUGUGGGAAUGUGCAUUCAGGUACACAAAACAACUACCCACAGGCAACAAGCAGUCCAAUAUUGCUUCCUUGAGCAGGGCUGAAAGUAGGGCCUGAUCAGCUGAAAUGGAACACUGGUUAUGGUGGCACCCUUGAGUCUCUUCCAGAAUCAGCAAGGUGACUUGGCCACACUGUCUUUUCAACCACAUCUUGAGAUGCCUCUUGUCUGGAGUGUCCUCACAGUCAUUCUGACAGGUUGUGCAGUGAUAGC